rnacentral:rRNA from 1 species
AUUGAACGCUGGCGGCAUGCUUUACACAUGCAAGUCGAACGGCAGCGCGGGCUUCGGCCUGGCGGCGAGUGGCGAACGGGUGAGUAAUACAUCGGAACGUGCCCAGUAGUGGGGGAUAGCUCGGCGAAAGCCGGAUUAAUACCGCAUACGACCUGAGUGUGAAAGCGGGGGAUCUUCGGACCUCGCGCGAUUUGAUCGGCCGAUGGCAGAUUAGCUAGUUGGUGGGGUAACGGCCUACCAAGGCGACGAUCUGUAGCUGGUCUGAGAGGACGACCAGCCACACUGGGACUGAGACACGGCCCAGACUCCUACGGGAGGCAGCAGUGGGGAAUUUUGGACAAUGGGCGAAAGCCUGAUCCAGCAAUGCCGCGUGUGUGAUGAAGGCCUUCGGGUUGUAAAGCACUUUUGGCGGGAACGAAAAGGACUGUGCCAAUACCACGGUUCGAUGACGGUACCCGCAGAAUAAGCACCGGCUAACUACGUG